CAAGUCGAGCGGAACGAUGGGAGCUUGCUCCCAGGCGUCGAGCGGCGGACGGGUGAGUAACACUUAGGAAUCUACCUAGUAGUGGGGGAUAGCUCGGGGAAACUCGAAUUAAUACCGCAUACGUCCUACGGGAGAAAGGGGGCAGUUUACUGCUCUCGCUAUUAGAUGAGCCUAAGUCGGAUUAGCUAGAUGGUGGGGUAAAGGCCUACCAUGGCGACGAUCUGUAGCUGGUCUGAGAGGAUGAUCAGCCACACCGGGACUGAGACACGGCCCGGACUCCUACGGGAGGCAGCAGUGGGGAAUAUUGGACAAUGGGGGAAACCCUGAUCCAGCCAUGCCGCGUGUGUGAAGAAGGCCUUUUGGUUGUAAAGCACUUUAAGCAGUGAAGAAGACCUAACGGUUAAUACCCGUUAGCGAUGACAUUAGCUGCAGAAUAAGCACCGGCUAACUCUG
rnacentral:rRNA from 1 species